GCUGUCCGUUAUUAUGGUGUUUAUUAUGGUUUAGUUAUUUUAAUUUUAUUUUUUGAUGUUAAAAAUACACGAUGGAUACUUAAAUAUUGAUGUUUACCUUUUUUAUUUUGAUAUUUUAUGGUGUAGAUUAACCUAAGUUAAUAUAACAAUCAAAACAGUAGGGCAUGGAAUGGCAGAUCAACAUUGUUAAUUUUCGGAUAAACUUUCUGGAUUUUGCCAAGUGAAGAACUCCAAUGAUAUACAUGUAGGGGCAUGUGUCCAAAGCUGAUCCACAUCAUAACAUACUGAUUGGGAAUAAUGACAUAGUACCAAAAGAUGUGCUUAUAUUGUAAUUAGCAGAUCUUCACAAAUGAACCUGGCAGAUCCUGGUGCAACCUUACCUUACCAUGUUUACAUCUAACCGUCAGUUUGAGCUGUGUGUGGGUGGUAACACGGACUAUAUACAUGUAUUGCCCAGUAAUUGUCUUGUGAUGGACCUUUUUAACAUAUCAAGUAUUUAAUUGAAGACUUAAGAGGUCAGUUUUCAUCAAAGAAUUUAAAAAUACAGUUUUUUUGUAAGGGUGAAUAUGUGGUUAUAAUGGCAUUGAUGUAUAUCUUGUGUCUGUUUUUUAAUCAGCCUUUCAUCCAUAAUUAUGAAUAUUAAGCAUGAUAAAGUAUUUUAAGGGAAUAUAAUGUAGAAAUGUUAUGUUGUUUCUGCACAAGCAUUUGAAUACAAGAAAUUCUAUGUUCACUCAGCACUGUUUACACAUUGUCAAUGAAUUUGCUUGUUUUAGUUUCCAAAUCUGUCUGUCUCUAGCUCCCUGUGAAUAAUGUACUUUUUUACAUCCAUUGAUUUUAAAUGGGGUGUAUUAUGCACAUGUCACACUUUUUUUACAAAAACAUCAAGGUCAAAGGUAAAAUAUAUGGGUCAAAAUCAUAACUUUUGCAAUAUUGAAGAUAGCAACUUGAUAUUUGGCAUGCAUGUGUACCUCAUGGAGCUGCACAUUUUGAGUGGUGAAAGGUCAAGGUCAUCCUUCAAGGUCAAAGGUCAAAUAUAUGGGUCAAAAUCGCUCAAAAAGGGACAUUGUGUAUUGUGUUUUACAAACACAUACCUUGUUAUGUUAUGUAAUGGCCUUUCAAUCAUCUUAAUUUUUUAUGAAAUACGCUGGAUUUUUCUUUUCAUUUCAUCCAUGAUAUCAUUAUGUUUUUUUUGCCUGUUACAUUUUGCGGCCCAGUGUACGUGUUAAGCAGUUUAACCAUUUACAACGGCAUUUGUGGCGAGGCUUACAGUCAUAAGGUGGCGAGGCUUACAGUCAUAAGGUUGGUCAUUACAUGCACUGCAUAUCAUAAAAUCGUUUGGCUUUUAUUGACAAAAUUUGCGAAAACAGUGUUAAAGACUAAACAUCACAAGUGUCGCAACUUCGUCCCCACCUGGGAAUUCAGAGCGCAAAUUUCAGAUUAUAAUGUGUCAGAUUUUACACUUGUAAAAUGAAGAAGUCAUCUCUUGACAAGAUGGUGAUGUCCUGAUCUCGUUCCAAGCCACACAUGAUACUUGUUUUGCUUUUAAUCAAAAUCGGUGUUAAAUAGUAAACAUAAAAAGUGUCACAAAUUCGUCCCUAUUGAGAAGUCAGAGCUAAAAUUUCUGAUUUUAAUUUGUCAGAUUUUGCACUUUCAUAAUGAAGAAGUCAUCUCUUGACAAGAUGGUGGUGUCCUUGUCUCGUGCCGAGCCACAAAUGAUUCUUGUUUUGGUUCAAAGCAACAUAUAAACGAAGAUUUUUUUAAUGUACUUUGUUUUAAAUUCUGUUUUUUGAAAAAUGCAUGUACUUUGUUUUAAAUUCUGUUCUUUGAAAAAUGCAUAAUAAGUCA